UCGAAGCGCCUGUAGGUGGGGCGAGUCUUGAUUUUGGGUUGUGGAUAGAGAGGUUGGGUUUUCGGGCUAGGUUGGAUAGUGGGCUACGGAUGGGUGACCUAUCCGGAUCCAGAUCCGUCAGAUAUUGUAAGGGCAAAUGUGUCAUUUUGCAACUCCGCCUACUAUAGGGGUCCAAGUGGAAAGGGAAGACUAGGAGAGGGUUUGGGAGAAUUGAGGAGCCGUCGUCGGGACUUCGUCCAGAAUCGAGGGAAGCCGACUUUGUGAAGAAACUUGGCAGAAAUUCAGGAAUCGUCCGAGACGGCGUGCGAACUUUUAUGGCUCAAAUCUUGUUCUAUGUUGAGGCUAAAAUCACGAAAAAAAAAAAAUACCAAGACGUAGUCCUCAACAUGAUAUAGAAUUUUGUCGAAGGAACCAUAUCGAUUCGAGCUUCAGAUCAAAAGAUAUGAAAAUUAGAAAAUGGUGGAUUAGAAAAGGGCUACGGAUUGCUGGAGAGAGAGAAAAGAAAAGAAAAAAGAAAAAGAAAAAAAGGCGGCGGGCAGCGGAGUGCGGCUCGACAGGCGACGACGCGUCGAGCGACGCAGCUCCAGCGAAAUGAUGACGCGUGUCACCAACAGGAACCAGGGCAAACCGCAGUGAAUGGGACUACUGGCUAAACCAACCCGACCCGCAACUACGUGAAGCAAUCCGCGCGUGGCCGUCACACGUGCAGCCUGGUACUGGCAUCUUUUCCCACGCGUGGGGGUGCGUGGUCGGCGUGUGAGGGUGCGUGGGAGGCUCAUUUUUCGUCCGUUUACCUUCUGUUUGUCCCGAUUUCUAUUUUUAUGUGAAUAAGGACUUAAUCAAGAAUAAUCAGUAUUUUUGGACACCUUACAAACACAGAAACGCUAGCAUAAGGGCACACGUCAACCAGAUAGGUCAUCACACGGAACUUAGAAAGAGAUACAUGUAGGAAUCGCCUUGGUAUACAUGCAUGCUAGAUUAGUUUCCUUAUGUGAUUCGACUUUUCUAUGUUAUGAGCUUAGGUUGCAAAGUACAUGUUGUAUGACCAGUUAUAUAUGCUUCCAUGAUAAGUUAAACAUGUUUUAUGCUUCCGCUUAGUGUAUAAUUGUUUAUCCAUGCUGAAAGAAGGAUGGGUAAAUUGUGAACUCUGCGUUCUAGGUGUUGAUGAACGUUAUCACCCCGUUGAGCAUAAUUGCCUAUUUUUGCAUAAACUGUAUAAUGUAUCUUAUUCUUGAUGCUUA